GACGAACGCUGGCGGCGUGCUCAACACAUGCAAGUCGAGCGAGGCCCUCCUUCGGGGGGUGCCCUAGUGGCGAACGGGUGAGUAACACGUGGGCAACCUGCCCUCAGCUCUGGGAUAACCCCCGGAAACGGGAGCUAAUACCGGAUAUGACCAAGCGAGACAUCUCGCGUGGUGGAAAGUUUUUCGGCNGAGGAUGGGCCCGCGGCCUAUCAGCUUGUUGGUGGGGUAACCGGCCCACCAAGGCGACGACGGGUAGCCGGCCUGAGAGGGCGAACGG
rnacentral:rRNA from 1 species